rnacentral:rRNA from 1 species
UACGUAGGGUGCAAGCGUUAAUCGGAAUUACUGGGCGUAAAGCGUGCGCAGGCGGUUAUGUAAGACAGUUGUGAAAUCCCCGGGCUCAACCUGGGAAUUGCAUCUGUGACUGCAUAGCUAGAGUACGGUAGAGGGGGAUGGAAUUCCGCGUGUAGCAGUGAAAUGCGUAGAUAUGCGGAGGAACACCGAUGGCGAAGGCAAUCCCCUGGACCUGUACUGACGCUCAUGCACGAAAGGCGUGGGGAGCA